rnacentral:tRNA from 1 species
GGAGUUGUGGCUCAGUGGUAGAGCGCUUGCCUGGCAUGCGUGAGGCCCUGGGUUGGAUCCUUAGCACCUCAU